rnacentral:rRNA from 1 species
AUACGGAUGGUGCGAGCGUUGUUCGGAAUUACUGGGCGUAAAGGGCGCGUAGGCGGCGAUGUAAGUCAAAUGUGAAAGUCCUCGGCUUAACCGGGGAAGUGCAUCUGAAACUGCAUUGGUUGAGUAUGGGAGAGGAAAGUGGAAUUCCCGGUGUAGAGGUGAAAUUCGUAGAGAUCGGGAGGAAUACCGGUGGCGAAGGCGACUUUCUGGACCAAUACUGACGCUGAGGCGCGAAAGCGUGGGGAGCAAACAGGAUUAGAAACCCUAGUAGUCC